GGGCUGGGGCUGAGUGGUACAGUGCUUGCCUAGCAUGUGUGAGAUGCUGGGUUCGAUCCUCAGCACCACA
rnacentral:tRNA from 1 species